rnacentral:rRNA from 1 species
UCCAGACUCCUACGGGAGGCAGCAGUGGGGGAUAUUGCACAAUGGGGGGAACCCUGAUGCAGCGACGCCGCGUGGGUGAAGGAGCGUUUCGGCGCGUAAAGCCCUAUCGGCAGGGAAGAAGGAGGACGGUACCUGACUAAGAAGCCCCGGCUAACUACGUGCCAGCAGCCGCGGUAAUACGUAGGGGGCAAGCGUUAUCCGGAUUUACUGGGUGUAAAGGGGGCGCAGACGGCAGCGCAAGCCAGGAGUGAAAGCCCGGGGCCCAACCCCGGGACUGCUCUUGGAACUGCGCGGCUGGAGUGCAGGAGGGGCAGGCGGAAUUCCUGGUGUAGCGGUGAAAUGCGUAGAUAUCAGGAGGAACACCGGUGGCGAAGGCGGCCUGCUGGACUGCGACUGACGUUGAGGCCCGAAAGCGUGGGGAGCAAACAGGAUUAGAUACCCCUGUACCG